GACUAAUUAGCUAAGCAUGCACUUUAGCUGUAUUGCAAUACAGAGAUUAGCAUGGCUCCUGCACAAUGACAACAUGCAAAUUUGUGAAGUGUUCCAUAUUUUA
ensembl:snRNA U6 U6 spliceosomal RNA